CCUACGGGCGGCAGCAGUGGGGAAUUUUCCGCAAUGGGCGAAAGCCCGACGGAGCAACGCCGCGUGAGGGAUGAAGGCCUCUGGGCUGUAAACCUCUUUUCUCAAGGAAGAAGAUCUGACGGUACUUGAGGAAUAAGCCACGGCUAGUUCCGUGCCAGCAGCCGCGGUAAUACGGGAGUGGCAAGCGUUAUCCGGAAUUAUUGGGCGUAAGCGUCCGCAGGCGGCCCAUCAAGUCUGCUGUUAAAAAGUGGAGCUUAACUCCAUCAUGGCAGUGGAAACUGUUGGGCUAGAGUGUGGUAGGGGCAGAGGGAAUUCCCGGUGUAGCGGUGAAAUGCGUAGAUAUCGGGAAGAACACCAGUGGCGAAGGCGCUCUGCUGGGCCAUAACUGACGCUCAUGGACGAAAGCCAGGGGAGCGAAAGGGAUUAGAUACCCUUGUAGUC
rnacentral:rRNA from 1 species